AUCGGGAAUCAACCUACAGAGGCCAGAGUGUCUUGACAGCACACCAGAGAAAUCCAGGGACCUGACCGAAGAUGCUGAAUGUCUCCGGCCUCUUUGUUCUCCUCUGUGGGCUGCUUGUCUCAUCCUCUGCACAGGAGGUCCUGGCUGGAGUUUCUUCCCAGCUCCUUAAUGGUGAGACUGUCCUGCUUUGGGUCAUGCAGAACCCUGAGCCAAUGCCAGUUAAGUUCUCAUUAGCAAAGUACCUGGGACACAAUGAACACUAUUAAUUAUUAGCCGUCCUGACUGCAACAUCGUUUAAUCCUCAUUUUCCGAGCACCCCCUCUUUCCUGUCUCCUUGCUGUGCUUUAUCUAUCAAGACCCACCAUCAAAGGAACCAGCUCUAUAUGGACUGGUCCCUGUCGCAGCCUUUGUACCUGCUGUUUCCUCUGCCUGGGACACUCUUCCCCUACCUGUCAACCUAGCUGCCUCCCUUCCUUCAGGUCUCUGCUCAAAUGCCACAUUUGCAGAAAGCCCUUCCUUGACCUCCUGCGUAAAUGAAUCCCUCACCCUGCCUUUUGUUUUUUCAUCAUAGGAUGGACUGAUAUCUAGCGGCAUGGUCAUCGUGGUUAAAACAUUGAAAUUUUGGGGUAUACUAUUUGUGAAGUAUUUCCUGCUUA
ensembl:lncRNA BPIFA4P BPI fold containing family A member 4, pseudogene